rnacentral:rRNA from 1 species
CUACGGGCUGCAGCAGUGAGGAAUAUUACACAAUGGGGGAAACCCUGAUGCAGCAACGCCGCGUGGAGGAUGACGCAUUUCGGUGUGUAAACUCCUUUUAUAUGUCAAGAAAAUGACGGUAGCAUAUGAAUAAGCACCGGCUAACUCCGUGCCAGCAGCCGCGGUAAUACGGAGGGUGCAAGCGUUACUCGGAAUCACUGGGCGUAAAGGACGCGUAGGCUGGUUGGUAAGUCAGGUGUGAAAUCCUACAGCUUAACUGUAGAACUGCACUUGAAACUACCAACCUAGAGUAUGGGAGGGGGAGAUGGAAUUAGUGGUGUAGGGGUAAAAUCCGUAGAUAUCACUAGGAAUACCGAAAGCGAAGGCGAUCUCCUGGAACAUAACUGACGCUAAGGCGUGAAAGCGUGGGGAGCAAACAGGAUUAGAUACCCCAGUAGUC